rnacentral:rRNA from 1 species
UACGUAGGGGUGCAAGCGUUGUCCGGAAUUAUUGGCGUAAAGAGCUCGUAGGCGGUCUGUCGCGGUCUGCCGUGAAAGUCCGGGGCUCAACUCCGGAUCUGCGGUGGGUACGGGCAGACUAGAGUGAUGUAGGGGAGACUGGAAUUCCUGGUGUAGCGGUGAAAUGCGCAGAUAAUCAGGAAGAACACCAACGGCGAAGGCAGCUCCGGCUGGGACGGUACUGACGCGUGGAGAACGCGGAAAGCGUGGGGAGCGAACAGG